UUGUCAUGGGUUGGUUUCUGUCGGUUUACUUUAAUGCAAUCUCUCUCUCCCACACACUCUCUCUGAUGUCUGUCAGGGGUCAGUAUGUGUCUCCUCUGAGCUCUGGCCCCUCACUGCCCUCCCAUGCAGUGCUGUGGGAACUUGACCAGUCAUCUGCGCAGUUAUGAGAGGCAUGUGGUGGAGAGGAAGCAGUGGUUUGUGAGUCAGCGCCUCAUGAAUCGUUCCGUUCCGUUGGCCUUUGGCUCUCUUUAGCUCUUUGAGUCAUCUAGAUCCCUGUGGUCCUGUGAGAUGGGUGUGUGUGUGGGGGGGAGGAAAACUUGCGUUCCUCUGUUUCUGGUCCAUUCCGUUGUAUUGUUCAGUGCUGUGAGUGCUGUCAAGAGAAGCAGUGAAUGGUCACGGCGAGGAGAGACUGUCGUCCGGCAGAAUGGCGUCAGACGUGGGCCGCAGCACUUGAGUUAUGACACAAAUGCAGCGAGAGAGGAGUCUUCUGUCUGGGCCCUGCGUGUGCUGCGGGCGAAAGGCUCCUCGGUGUUACGCAGAUGGGACACGCCCUGACAUGUCGCUCCGCCGCUCUUCUCCUCGCUCGCCGAUCUUUGUCCAGCUCUGUGUAAACAAAAGUCGUGGAAUCAGGUGCUGAUUUGCUGAGAUGAAACAGACAGGAGUAAAACAUGCUGCAGAAGCACAAUCAGUCAUAUCCAGUGCAUUUAAUCUAAACCGAAACAUCACUCUGCUGAUCACUAUAGAGAUAUCUUUAACAUUUGUGACCCUGGACUUAAGGGUCAAUUUUUCAAAAUUGAGAUUAAUACAUCAUCUGAAAGUUGAUUAAAAAAGCUUUCCUUUGAUGUAUGGUUUCCAUUGAUGUAUAGGACAAUAUUUAGCUGAGAUACAACUAAUGUAUUUGAAAAUCUGGAAUCUGAGGUUGCAAAAAAAUUGCCUUUAAAGUUGUCGAAAUGAAGUUCUUAGGAAUGCAUAUUACUAAUCAAAAAUUAAGUUUUGAUAUAUUUACAGCAGGAAAUUUGCAAAAUAUCUUCAUGGAACAUGAUCUUUACUCAACAUCCUAAUGAUUUUUGGCAUAAAAGAAAAAUCGAUAAUUUUGACCCAUACAAUGUAUUGUUGGUUAUUGCUACAAAUAUACCCCUGCUACUUAUGACUGCUUUUGUGGUUCAGGGUCACAUUUCUUCUAAGCAUUAAAUAGAGAGCAAAUUGACACUUUUGCCCAUUUUUUCCUCAGGGAAGGUCUCAAACUGUACUCAGAUUUGCCAAGACAUCAGUCUCAAUGACAAGGAUUAGAACUGUAUCUCAAUUGUGUCUCCUCUAGUUUCAGAGGGAUCUCAAAUAAAAGCUGAUGUUUCAGUGAAUAGACA
ensembl:lncRNA